rnacentral:misc_RNA from 1 species
GAUGAAGAACGCAGCGAAUUGCGAUAAGUAAUGUGAAUUGCAGAUUUUCAGUGAAUCAUCGAGUCUUUGAACGCACAUUGCGCCCUCUGGUAUUCCGGAGGGCAUGCCUGUCCGAGCGUCAUUGCUGCCCUCAAGCACGGCUUGUGUGUUGGGCCCCGCCCCCCGAUCCCGGGGGGCGGGCCCGAAAGGCAGCGGCGGCACCGCGUCCGGUCCUCGAGCGUAUGGGGCUUUGUCACCCGCUCUGUAGGCCCGGCCGGCGCCUGCCGAUCAACCAAACUUUUUUCCAGGUUGACCUCGGAUCAGGUAGGGAUACCCGCUGAACUUAAGCAUAUCAAUAAGCGGAGGA